GACGAACGCUGGCGGCGUGCUUAACACAUGCAAGUCGAACGGAAAGGCCCCGCUUUUGUGUGGUUCUCGAUUGGCGAACGGGUGUGUAACACGUGUGUAUCCUGCCCUUGACUUUGUGAUAACUUCACGAAACUGCGGCUCUUACCGCAUAGGAGCUCCUGCUGCGUGGUGUGGGUUGGAGAGAUUCGGCGGUUGGGGAUGGACUCGCGGCUUAUCCGCUUGUUGGUGGGGUAGUUGCUUACCAAGGCUUUGACGGGUAGCCGGCCUGAGAGGGUGAACGGCGACAUUGGGACUGAGAUACGGCCCAGACUCCUACGGGAGGCAGCAGUGGGGAAUAUUGCACAACGGGCGGACGCCUGAUGCAGCAACGCCGCGUGCGGGAUGACGGCCUUCGGGUUGUAAACCGCUUUCGACUGUGACGAAGCGUGAGUGACGGUAAUGGGUAAAGAAGCACCGGCUAACUACGUG
rnacentral:rRNA from 1 species